AUCAAACCUAAGAAAUUAAAAUUGAUACAGCAAAUAUUAUCUAGUAUACAGCUGAUUAUGGUUUGGAUUUGUGUCCCCGCCCAUAUCUGAUGUUGAAUUGUAAUUUCCAGGAGCUGGGGCCUGGCAGGAGGUGACUGGAUCAUGGGGGCGCGUUUCCUCUGAGUACUGUUCUGGUGAUAGUGAGUGAGCUGUCGUCAUGAGAUCUGGUCGUGUAAAGCUGUCACAUCUACCUGCGGAAUUCACCUUAUACCUUAGAGAGAGGCUGCAGUCAGUGACAGCUGAUGGGAAAUGCAUCUGUUCCUUUGAGUAAUUCAGCAACAUCAUUACUUCUCAGUUAAAAAAGAAAAGCAGACCGGCGCAGUGGCUCACGCCUGUAAUCCCAGCACUUUGGGAGGCUGAGGUGAGCAGAUCACCUGAGGUCAGGAGUUUGAGACCAGCCUGGCCAAUAUGGUGAAACCCCAUCUGUACUAAAAAUACAAAAACUCCUGGGCGUGGUGGUGCGCACCUGUAAUCCCAGCUACUUGGGAGGCUGAGGCAGGAGAAUUGCUUGAACCCUGGAGGCAGAGGUUGCAGUGAGCCAAGAUCGCACCACUGCACUCCAGCCUGGGUGACAGAGCAAGAUUCUGUCUCAAAAUAAAUAAAUAAAUAAAUAAAUAAAUAAAUAAAUAAAUAAGUGUAAAGCAUGCUACUGCUCUAUGGUUAUUCAAUCAGACGAUACUGUGGCAAAAGCAACUAACAGUUUUAAGGAAACCACUUCACAGCCUUCCAGUGAAACAACUCUAGGAUUUCCCGUUCAUUCUCCCUGGUGGGUCUGGAAUUGAUAGCUCUCCAGCCACCAGCAUCACAGGAGCCCGGCCUGGCACUGUGGCAAGAGGUGGGAGAAGUUAAAGGAAUACACGUGCAAGGCUGGUCUCUGAAUUGGAUCUGGGGCUUGAAUUUUACUUUUUAACUAUUCAUGACACUUCAUUUAAUUCGUGAGUCAAAAUCAUCACGUGAUGAAAGGAGCCAGUCACAAAAGGCAAGAUAUUGUACGACUGCCUGUAUAUGAGGUACCUAGAAUUGUCAAAUCCAUAGAGACA